rnacentral:rRNA from 1 species
UACGGGGGGGGUAAGCGUUGUUCGGAAUUACUGGGCGUAAAGGGCUCGUAGGCGGCCAACUAAGUCAGACGUGAAAUCCCUCGGCUUAACCGGGGAACUGCAUCUGAUACUGGAUGGCUUGAGUUCGGGAGAGGGAUGCGGAAUUCCAGGUGUAGCGGUGAAAUGCGUAGAUAUCUGGAGGAACACCGGUGGCGAAGGCGGCAUCCUGGACCGACACUGACGCUGAGGAGCGAAAGCCAGGGGAGCAAACGGG